rnacentral:rRNA from 1 species
UAUAAAGUGGCGAACGGCUGAGUAACACGUGGGCAACCUGCCCUUUGCACUGGGAUAGCCUCGGGAAACCGAGGUUAAUACCGGAUACUCCAUAUUUGUCGCAUGGCGAAUAUGGGAAAGCUCCGGCGGCAAAGGAUGGGCCCGCGGCCUGUUAGCUAGUUGGUGGGGUAGUGGCCUACCAAGGCAAUGAUGGGUAGCCGGGUUGAGAGACCGACCGGCCAGAUUGGGACUGAGACACGGCCCAGACUCCUACGGGAGGCAGCAGUC